CAAAAGGUGAAAUCAAGAUGCUUCCAGAAAUAGUGCAGAGCUAGGUUCCUGGUCCACUGAGUGGGGCCAACAGUUUCAUGAUGCCCAGAGAUACACUGCCCCAAAGACAGGGAGGCUGUGGACAGUCAAACAGCCCCUCCCCAGGCAUGCACCCAAGCCUGCAGCCCUGAAGCCAGCAGUAUGGCCAGGCCUAGGGUAGCCUCCAAGACUGACACUCCGUUUUCAGCCCAAGGCCGCAUCUGCUGAGCUGUAUGGCCCCCAGUGUCUGUCUUCUCUGCAAAGGCCAGCUCAGAACCACCACCUCAUGGAUGUCUGCUCAGCCCAUAGUAAUGGAGAACUAAUUGCCACCACCCUUCUUAGUCCUGAGAGUCAACACUUCCCAGCAGCAUCCCAUUGCUGCAUCUCUGUUCUCUGUCCUAGUCAUUAUAGAUGCAUUUUUAUUUGAUUGGCCCUACCCUCAACUGCUAAGGUCAGAGUCUGGCCAGCCAAAUUGAGAGACAAAAAGUAACAAUCCACACGGGGAUAUUCAGUGAUGGAAGGAGACUGGCAGAGAAGAGACAGACCUUUCCUCCUUCCAUCAGGGCACGCAGCUCCCCUAAAAACAUGACACAUGCCUUCCAGGGCCAGCCCAGUCUCUAAGCCCCAAAACUCUGCCCACAUGGCACUGGGCUUGUGGUGGGAGUGCCACCUGGUGGCUGCUCCAGAACAGUGGCAUCUUAGCGGAGACUAAAUGUGUACCCAUAUACUACACUCCCAAGCCUUUCUGGAGACAAACUCCACCCUACCCCGCACCCUACCCCUACCCCGCAAAUCCCUCUCUGAGCCUCCAUUCUCAGCGCCGAGGGCCUGAGGCAAAGCAGGAUCUCGUGGGAGUCAUGUGGAACCCAUCUAGACUGUCAGUCUCCUGACUAGAUAUGGUUGGGAGGCCGAAGACCAAGUCCCAGGUUGGCCACUGAGCCAAGUUAAGCAAGGCCCUGCCCCAGCCCAGGCCUCUAUUUCUUUGUUUACAAAAUAAGAAAGAGGAGCUCAAACAUCAGCUCUUCUUCUGGUCUAUCUCUUAUCAAGACCAGAGAUGGACAAAGCUUUCUCAUUCUAUCUUGUGCAUUUGUUUGUUUGUG
rnacentral:lncRNA from 1 species